rnacentral:sRNA from 1 species
CUGAAGAAGCAUCUGUAGGCAAUCCAGAAGGAGCGUUCAUGAAGAUGUUACAAGCCCGGAAGCAGCACAUGAGCACUGAGCUGACUAUUGAGUCGGAGGCGCCCUCAGACAGCAGUGGCAUCAACUUGUCAGGCUUUGGGAGUGAUCAGCUUGAAAUUCAGCUAACCGAGCAGCUACGGUCCCUCAUCCCCAACGAGGAUGUGAGAAAGUUCAUGUCUCAUGUUAUCCGGACCUUGAAAAUGGAAUGUUCAGAAACACAUGUGCAAGGGAGCUGUGCCAAGCUCAUGUUGCAAACAGGCCUCCUGAUGAAGCUUCUCAGCGAGCAGCAGGAAGCAAAGGCAUUGAAUGUAGAAUGGGAUACGGACCAACAAAAAACAAAUUAUAUUAAUGAGAACAUGGAACAGAAUGAACAGAAAGAGCAGAAGUCAAGUGAGCUCAUGAAAGAAGUUCCAGGAUAUGACUAUAAGAACAAACUCAUCUUCGCAAUAUCUGUGACUGUAAUACUAAUAAUUUUGAUUAUAAUUUUUUGUCUUAUAGAGGUAAGGACAAUAAUUAAUUCAGGUUUUCAGAAUACAAUCCUGUGUUUGUGUGGAUUCAGAAUCC